AUAACUUAUUCGUAUUCAUAUAUAUUUACAUUUCAUUACAUUGUAUCAUUGUUAGUAGGUUUUGAUAGGGUUAAUCGACUUCUCUUUAACUCCCUCAGUUCUCGAAUCUCCAGGUCACCACAUCAAUUGAUGGGAGUUCUUGUUUAGCAAGUAACGACAGACACGAAAGAGUGCUCUAACAAGUUCUCAAAUAAGUGUAUUUUCGGGGCUAGCAUUUAUACACAGUUUGCCACGCAAGCAGCGAGAUUUAUCGCUUCCUUAUAGUUAAUAGUACAUACUUCUGUGGCAGUAGAAGAUAAGCAUUUGAAUAAAGACGGGACAGGAACAUCCUGAGGUCGAGCGAGGUCAUACAUCCUGUAGAAGGAAGACCUUGGUAUAAAAUACAUCUGCCAAAGUCAGCAUAAUUAUUUCAAACAUUAUUUUAAAGCAUAUAAAGCAAAAAGAGUUAAC